CCUUGGUCAGGUUGAAGUUCAGGUAACACUGAAUGGAGGACCGAACCGACUUACGUUGAAAAGUGAGCGGAUGAACUGAGGGUAGCGGAGAAAUUCCAAUCGAACCUGGAGAUAGCUGGUUCUCUCCGAAAUAGCUUUAGGGCUAGCCUCAAGUGAUGAUUAUUGGAGGUAGAGCACUGUUUGGACGAGGGGCCCCUCUCGGGUUACCGAAUUCAGACAAACUCCGAAUGCCAAUUAAUUUAACUUGGGAGUCAGAACAUGGGUGAUAAGGUCCGUGUUCGAAAGGGAAACAGCCCAGACCACCAGCUAAGGUCCCAAAAUAUAUGUUAAGUGGAAAAGGAUGUGGCGUUGCCCAGACAACUAGGAUGUUGGCUUAGAAGCAGCCAUCAUUUAAAGAGUGCGUAAUAGCUCACUAGUCGAGUGACACUGCGCCGAAAAUGUACCGGGGCUAAACAUAUUACCGAAGCUGUGGAUUGUCC
rnacentral:rRNA from 1 species